rnacentral:rRNA from 1 species
UUUGAUCCUGGCUCAGGAUGAACGCUGGCGGUAUGCCUAACACAUGCAAGUCGAACGGAAUCUUUCGGGAAAUCUGACUUUUGGUCGGGGACAACCACUGGAAACGGUGGCUAAUACCGGAUAAGCCUGAGGGUAAAAGAUUAAUUGCCAGAAGAGGAGCUCGCGUCUGAUUAGCUAGUUGGUAAGGUAAAGGCUUACCAAGGCGUCGAUCAGUAGCUGGUCUGAGAGGACGAUCAGCCACACUGGGACUGAGACACGGCCCAGACUCCUACGGGAGGCAGCAGUGGGGAAUUUUCCGCAAUGGGCGAAAGCCUGACGGAGCAAUACCGCGUGAGGGAGGAAGGCUCUUGGGUUGUAAACCUCUUUUCUCAGGGAAGAACAAUGACGGUACCUGAGGAAUCGGCAUCGGCUAACUCCGUGCCAGCAGCCGCGGUAAUACGGAGGAUACAAGCGUUAUCCGGAAUGAUUGGGCGUAAAGCGUCCGCAGGUGGCACUCCAAGUCUGCUGUCAAAGACUAGGGCUUAACCCUGGAAAGGCAGUGGAAACUGUAGAGCUAGAGUAUGGUGGGGGCAGAGGGAAUUCCUGGUGUAGCGGUGAAAUGCGUAGAGAUCAGGAAGAACACCGGUGGCGAAAGCGCUCUGCUAGGCCGAAACUGACACUCAUGGACGAAAGCUAGGGGAGCGAAUGGGAUUAGAUACCCCAGUAGUCCUAGCCGUAAACGUUGGAUACUAG